rnacentral:rRNA from 1 species
AACGUAGGACGCAAACGUUAUCCGGAAUUACUGGGCGUAAAGGGCGCGCAGGCGGAUCGGUAAGUGAGGCAUGAAAGCUCCCUGGCUAAACCGGGAGAGGAUGUCUGAGACUGCCAAUCUGGAGUGAGGUAGAGGGGUGUGGAAUUCCGCGUGUAGUGGUGAAAUGCGUAGAGAUGCGGAGGAACACCAGUGGCGAAGGCGGCACCCUGGACCUUAACUGACGCUGAGGCGCGAAAGCAUGGGGAGCGAACGGG